UAUAGUUCUUCUUGCAUUCACAACAUACUUCUGACAGGGAUACCUACUCGUGAGAGCAACUGACGUCUUGUCUGUUUUUUAGGUCGUACCCAUCGUGCAUAAUGGCCAAAACAGUUUUGAUCCUACUGGUAGCCUUGCUGUUGGUGACAACUUCGAUGGCGUCUCCAGUGAGAAAUAAACGGUUCUUGAAAUGCUCCGUGGAUCCGAAAUGCGGCGUCCAUGUUGGCGUUCAAGCCGGUCUGAACGGUCAAGUCCUUGCGUGCUGGUGCGCGAACCCACAAACCAACAUGAAGUGCUGCGUUGACGUCAACUGGGGUUAAAUACUCAGACGAUUUCUGCUAUCAUACUAUAUCAUAUAUGCACCGACUUCAGCGCCUGAGCUAGAAUUAUAAUCCUAGUUACAAGUUAUCAUCGUUUUGUCCAACGUUAGUGAAAAUGUUUAGAUAUUUUGUACAUCUGGAAAGUUUUAAAUAACAGCAAAGUAAAUUACAGUAUAUGAUUUCAAUCAUUUAUAAAGUACCCAACUACAUUUGUAAUAUUUUAAUCUGCACAAGGUUUGGAUGUAAGACAAAAUUAUUGAUAUGUACUCAGACUCACUCUAAAGUGUAACAAAUGCUUUUCUAGUUCCUCUGUUUAAUGAAUAAACUAUCAACUAAA